rnacentral:lncRNA from 1 species
GCUUCUGCUCAUCCUUGAGGUUGGCCUCCGUCACGGGGAUGACGUUCUCUUGAUCGAGGUCAGAGAUCGACAUGUUGAUCUUGAUCUUGAAUCCUGGUCCCACUGGGCGUGCCAAAAGAUGUGUUGAUGCAAAACUGAUCUGCAAACACAAAGGGCUAAUACCCGAUUCAAACGUUAAGGCGUGCCAGCCGAUUUGACCUUACUAUCGGCAAAGGUGAUAACUCGAAUACUUUAGUCCUGACAACAGCGAUGCGCCCGGAUGUCACGGCUAAGAGGUACUCACGCGGAACUCGAGAACACGCCGAGCUUAAGUCGACGAAUUCCUAAGAACUCGUAAUAAAAGGAAAAAAGUAUGACGAAGUCGUCGAAAAGUAGAUGCUGGAAUAUGAGUAAAAACGUGUGUUUGAUUGAUUGAUUCUUACAAGGCCCUAGGGUUUAUAUUUAUACCCUGCUCAAAGAGCUACAACCAGACACAAUUAGAAUUCGAAUUCCAAAUUACACGGAAGCCGUAUACAAAACGAUGCAAAUAAGUAAGGAAAUAACAAAACUAUCCCUCGUGACAAACCGAAACUCCUCCACAUAACGACCGGCAGCUUCCAGACUCCUCCUUUGCAUCAUCGGCAGAUCCUUUGCCAUAGUCAUCGGCAGACUUUCUUAUCUAGCCAUCGGCACCAUAUUACUGCCUGUGGACUUAGUCACAUUCGACUUCUCCCUCAUCGGCAACCAUCCUUAUCGGCAACCCGCUUUGUAAACAUCGUACUGCCACCUUAUUCUGCCAUCCUAGACACGUGCCCAAAAACGGUGUCAACACGGUGCGCCUAAAAGGAAUUCAGGAGACAAUCGCAGGAUUUCUUAAUGACCAAGUCCUGGAUUCCGUGCUACUUCAACCCUCAGGAGCAGAUGAAACCAAAUAACGAUGAUCAUUUGUACGAUGCUUGAGUGGUGGAGAAAAAUUGUGUUGUAAAUACUUUGUCCGUGAAGCAUAUGUGUAAAUAUUUUAUUAUGGACCUAUAGAUAUAAUUAUUUAUAUAUAUAUAUAGUGUUUUAUAGUAUAUUUAUAUGUAAUCCUUUAAAUUAUAUAAAUUAUAUAGGUGCGCGUUCCAUAAACUACCAGCAAACAAUACGCAUUCAAAAAUAACAAUAACAUAAUUGUAAACCCUAAAUGGAAAACCAAAUGAAAAGAAAAAGAAAAAAGAAAAAAGUCUUUAGUCCCGGUUGGUAGCAACAACCGGGACUAAAAGUGGAGGCCAGGUGGCACACCCUGGCGCACCUUUUAGUCCCGGUUGCUGUUACCAACCGGGACUAAAGGUGGGACAUUUAGUCCCGAAACCUUAGCCCCGGUUCCGUAGCCGGGACUAAAGGCGCUUACGGCCCGGGGCUAAAGCCCUUCCCUGUACUAGUGUAGCUCUAGCUGGUAGUCAUACACUCUGCUGUACUCCCCCUUCAUAGCAUCCAAAGCUUUCUUUAGCACUAUAGACUUAGCCCUCUUGCACUUUGAGAUUGAGACAUCAGCAAACAAAUCUCUAAGACAUGCAGCCUUCAUGAGGCCAACACUCCAAGUGGGGUUGUCCUUGAUCUGGUUGUAAUAGUGUUUAGCAAUAACAGUUGAAGUCACUAGUUUGUUGUCUCUCCUAGGUGGGCAAGUAUGCUCAUCUACAAAUGUGACUACCUUGGACCAUCUUGAUCUACUAGUCUUGGAUCCAUAUAUCAUCCAAUUGCAGCCAAACCAGUAACAUGUAGCCUUAACCUUGUCCUUCUCAUCUUUGGGAAAUUUCAGUGAUUUAUGGGCUCUCUGUCCAUACUUAACCAAGGCCUUCUUGAACUGCCUGC